rnacentral:rRNA from 1 species
UACGUAGGUGGCGAGCGUUGUCCGGAAUUACUGGGUGUAAAGGGCGAGUAGGCGGGGAUAGAAGUCAUGUGUGAAAUACCGUAAGAAGAAUACGGAAAUGCAUGUGAAACUAGAUCUCUUGAGUGUUGGAGAGGAAAGCGGAAUUCCUAGUGUAGCGGUGAAAUGCGUAGAUAUUAGGAGGAACACCAGUGGCGAAGGCGGCUUUCUGGACAAAAACUGACGCUGAGGCGCGAAAGCGUGGGGAGCAAACAGG